AUGUCAGACAACAGCAAGAGCGUGAAAUGGGAGGAUUCCCCGGAUGAUCAAAAUAAAGUUGUGGAGAAUAUGAAGGAUGAAACAGAGACACAUGAGAACAACAAGAACAGGACUGGAGGCAAGGUAAGAAAUAUGCUGUCCUUUACACAUCCUCUGCCUACUUAGGCACAGAUCUAGGAUUGGUUUACUAUCACUAAAUCCUAACCUUAAAGCAUUAGGAGGAGACGCUACACUGACCUUAGAUCUGCUAUGAGACCUAUAAUCUGUUGUCA
rnacentral:lncRNA from 8 species